CCUACGGGAGGCAGCAGUAGGGAAUAUUCCGCAAUGGGCGAAAGCCUGACGGAGCAAUACCUCGUGAGUGAUGAAGGCUUUAGGGUCGUAAAGCUCAGUCAGCAGGGAAGAAGGGUUAUGGUUCGAAUAGGGCUAUAGCUUUGACGGUACCUGCAGAGGAAGCCACGGCUAAUUACGUGCCAGCAGCCGCGGUAAUACGUAAGUGGCAAGCGUUGUCCGGAUUUACUGGGCGUAAAGAACGCGUAGGCGGUUUUCUAAGUUGGGGGUGAAAUCCUGAGGCCCAACCUCAGGCCUGCCUCCAAAACUGGAGAACUAGAGUUUCGGAGAGGAAGAUGGUAUUCCAUGUGUAGCGGUGAAAUGCGUAGAUAUAUGGGAGAACACCAAUGGCGAAAGCAGUCUUCUGGACGAAUACUGACGCUGAGGCGUGAAAGCGUGGGUAG
rnacentral:rRNA from 1 species